GGAGUCUGGUCCGUGUCUCAGUACCAGUGUGGGGGACCUUCCUCUCAGAACCCCUACUGAUCGAUGGCUCGGUGGGCCGUUACCCCGCCGACUGCCUAAUCAGACGCAUCCCCAUCCCUUAGCGACGAAUCUUUGCUCCUAAACCGAUGCCCGAAAAGGAGAACAUAGGGCAUUAAUCCGACUUUCGCCGGGCUAUUCCCUACUAAGGGGGAGGUUGGAUACGCGUUACUCACCCGUGCGCCGGUCGCCAUCUGAGGUUGCAAGCAAACUCAAUGCUGCCCCGCGACUUGCAUGUGUUAAGCCUGUAGCUAGCGUUCAUC
rnacentral:rRNA from 1 species